CCCAGAAGCAGCUACACACUAUCUUCAUCUCCCAAGCAUUGUCAGUUUGGACACCUUCGCACAUGCGCACAGAGCAUUCAAUCUGACACCCUCACCAGGGCCAAAAAAACUUUCCAAUGUAUUCAUCAUCAUCAGGCCUUCCCCUGAUCUGCCCCUUUAAGAAAAAUCAGCCCUCUCCGCUCCUAACCCUCCGCACACUGACCUUACACACUGGACAAUAUUUAAGGAUCAAGGUGCCAUCCUAUAAAGAGGUGGAAGGCAGCGCGCUGGGAAGCGCUUCCCGAGGGACGGGGGAAGCCGGGAGAGGCGCGGAGACCCGGGAAAAGUGGGGAGAGGAAGGAAAAGCCACCCCGGAGCCAUCCCGCAGGACCUGCCCGCCGGCCCCGGCAGCGAAGGUAGAGAGAGCCCCGGCUUUGAAGAAAGGAGCGAAGUGUAAAUAGCCCGAUGAUUGAUGUGCUGUCUUUGACUGCGGAGAAAGCACUAUUUUAAUUCAAGUGGCCAGGUCAGAUGGUCACGGAAGAAGGUUGAAAGGUAGGAUUUAAUGAGAUUAAUAUGGAGAGAGAGAGAGAGAAAGCGCGCGCCUUCAUAAACAUUCAAUAAAAUAAUCGGGCGAGGGGAGAGCGCUCUGAUUUGCGCUCGAGGUGCUAACCCGGACCGGGGCUCAGCCAGCAGAAAAACCGGGAGCCCUCUCCCUGAAGGGCAUUGCAAAAACAAAGCAAAACUUCUGUGGGUGCGUCAGGUCUCUGCUGGAAGCCAUUCUGCCAGCUGCACUUUUGCCCUGCAGGUGGAACUGGGGAGGGGAGGGGGGAAUAUUCUUGCUAAUUACCGGUUUUCCCCUCCUCAAUAAACUCUUUAAUUGCAAAUGGGAGCAGGGCCCUUUCAGAUGCUACCUGGGAGCCAGCGCUAAAGGGAAGGGUGGCGGAGCAGGAGCCCAAAUAAAAUAAAUACGUUUGAAGGGAACUUGCAGCCACGUGUCGCCUAAAAUGUUGAAAUGGUGCCCGUGAAUUCCUUCCCCGAGGACGCGCGGGGCACAGGUAGCCGUUUCACCGCACGGCCGGCACCCCGAGCUCGGAAAAACAAGCUCUUGCGGUCUCCGCCGGUGAAACAGGAGCUCGAAUGUUUCCCAAUCCAUUGAAAUAUUUCUCCCAACGACCUCGGGCGCUAGAGCUGCUUCCCGCACCCACCCCGCCGAGCCCCUCGCGGGACGGACAGAUUUCAGCUCGAAAAUAUCGUCCCGGGUUAUUUAUUCCGGUGGUUUUCUGGCAGAAGACCCCGGACCUGCUCAGCCCCGACCCGAAGCCAAGCCCCGAAGCCCGCGGCUAGCCAGCACAGGUUGCCCCGCUGGCCGCGUCCCCCUCCCCGAGCCGGGAAAACAAAGGGCACGGAGGGCCCGAGCCACUCGCCGCCGGGCCGGGACCCGCGGCCGGUGCUCGCCCGCCGCCCUCCGCCACUAGCCCGGCUUUUGUUUUCGUGCCAAAACCUCCCGCAUCCCCAGCGUUCAGAUUCCCCCUGGGAAACAGCUCCCGCGGGAGAUAAGCGCGCACCGGCGGACCCGCUCGCAGAUAUUUUGGGGGACGCAAAAGGCUUUCGGGGGUGUCCGGAGGGGGCGGGGGGGUUCCACAACCCUUUAGCUGAUGCUUCUACAAACGAAGCCACAGAGAAGCGAUCGAAAAGUCACCGUGCGACCUGGCGCCAGCCCUGCCGAGCCGAGGGUCGGGGUUGCCCUCAGCUCGCCUCGGAAAUCAGGAUUAGGGUUUUUUUCCCCUUGCCUUUCCCCUCGCUCUGGCCGCGCUGCUCCCGGGUCGAGGAGAACGGCUCGCCGGGCCGGAGCGGGGCUCCCCCCGCCUCGGCCCGCUUUUAUCGAGGCAGCAGGAAAAAAAGAAAUUAAAAAAAAAAGGAACGAAUUUUUAGCGGGAGGUGUCGGGGAGCGCUGGCUGCGGGGCGUGCGGGAGGCGACGGGCCGCCAGCGGGGUCCCCCGCCGGCACCGGCCGCCCGCCCCCGGCAACGGGCCCCGCUUCACAAGCUCGUUUUAGGGAAAAAACGCUCUCGAGGAGACACGGUUGGGAGCCAGGGCAGGAGCCGGAGGCGGGGGGGGUGCUCCGGGGGCAGUGUGCCCUCUCGGGACACGCUCUUCCGUCCUGCGCCUACAGAGGUUGAUCCAUGGCUGCCAAGGGUGCCUCGCUGCAUUCCAGACGGGAAUCCCCAGGGGGAAGGAGCAGGGCUGCCGAGGGUGGGCGCAGCAAAUCCCCCCAGCAAGGUGUGCAGCUGGGGGCCGGGAAAAACCCCGCAGCCCCCCCCGGCCCCGGGCUCCCCCCGGCGUUCCUGCCUGGCCGGCCGAGCAUCCUGCGGCUGCCACCGGCUUUUACAGCCUGCACCUGUCUGA